rnacentral:miRNA from 1 species
CCAUGCUCAGCCUGUUCCCUG